ensembl:snoRNA SNORD83 Small nucleolar RNA SNORD83
GCCAAAUGAUGUGAAUUGGAUGACAUUAGCACUCUGUGCAAAGAUGACUCUCAUCUAUCACCCAAUGCUGAUGGCU